GAUGAACGCUAGCUACAGGCUUAACACAUGCAAGUCGAGGGGAAACGACAUCGAAAGCUUGCUUUUGAUGGGCGUCGACCGGCGCACGGGUGAGUAACGCGUAUCCAACCUGCCCACCACUUGGGGAUAACCUUGCGAAAGUAAGACUAAUACCCAAUGAUAUCUCUAGAAGACAUCUGAAAGGGAUUAAAGAUUUAUCGGUGAUGGAGGGGGAUGCGUCUGAUUAGCUUGUUGGCGGGGUAACGGCCCACCAAGGCGACGAUCAGUAGGGGUUCUGAGAGGAAGGUCCCCCACAUUGGAACUGGGACACGGUCCAAACUCCUACGGGAGGCAGCAGUGAGGAAUAUUGGUCAAUGGGCGAGAGCCUGAACCAGCCAAGUAGCGUGCAGGAUGACGGCCCUAUGGGUUGUAAACUGCUUUUAUAAGGGAAUAAAGUGGGAGUCGUGACUCCUUUUGCAUGUACCUUAUGAAUAAGGACCGGCUAAUUCCGUGCCAGCCGCCGCAGUAA
rnacentral:rRNA from 1 species